UACGGGAGGCAGCAGUGGGGAAUAUUGCACAAUGGGCGCAAGCCUGAUGCAGCCAUGCCGCGUGUAUGAAGAAGGCCUUCGGGUUGUAAAGUACUUUCAGUCGUGAGGAAGGUGUUAAGGUUAAUAACCUUAGCAAUUGACGUUAGCGACAGAAGAAGCACCGGCUAACUCCGUGCCAGCAGCCGCGGUAAUACGGAGGGUGCGAGCGUUAAUCGGAAUUACUGGGCGUAAAGGGCACGCAGGCGGUUAAUUAAGUUGGAUGUGAAAUCCCCGGGCUUAACCUGGGAAUGGCAUUCAAGACUGGUUAGCUAGAGUCUUGUAGAGGGGGUAGAAUUCCAUGUGUAGCGGUGAAAUGCGUAGAGAUGUGGAGGAAUACCGGUGGCGAAGGCGGCCCCUGGACAAAGACUGACGCUCGAUGUGCGAAAGCGUGGGGAGCGAAACAGGGAUUAGAU
rnacentral:rRNA from 1 species